rnacentral:lncRNA from 1 species
CUCUGAGGGGAAGGGCCCCACCCCCAACUCCCAGCGGCGAUUCCCUCCCCACCGCAGACACAACACCGGGGAAUUGUCCGGGAUGCUUUAUUGGAGGGAGGGGACAGCCCGCGGUCACUUCUUGGCCUCCUCCUCCUUGGAGAGGGUUUUGAUGAUCUCCUCCUUCUUGGCCUGCAGCCGCUCCUCCCGGCGCUUCCGCGCCUCCUUGGUCUUGGAGCGCCGCGCCUCCGCCUGGUCCCUGCGGGGCCGGGGCCGUGAGGAGGGCCCGGGGCAGCCGCGGCCCGCCCCGAGCUCUGCCCCGAGCUCUGCCCCGGCCCGCCCCGAGCUCUGCCCCGGCCCGCCCCGAGCUCUGCCCCGACCGGCCCCGAGCUCUGCCCCGGCCCGCCCCGAGCUCUGCCCCGAGCUCUGCCCCGGGCCGCCCCGAGCUCUGCCCCGGGCCCGGGGCACGGCUGAGCCACCCCAGCCCUGGGAUUUCCCAGUCCCCACCUCACUCAGGGAUUUCCGGGAUUUCCCAGUUCCCACCUCACUCAGGGAUUUCCCAUUUCCCACCUCACUCAGGGAUUUCCCAGCCCCACCUCAGUCGGGGAUUUCUGGGAUUUCCCAUCUCACUCAGGGAUUUCCCAGCCCCACCUCACUCAGGGAUUUCCGGGAUUUCCCAUUUCCCAGUUCCCACCUCAGUCAGGGAUUUCCCAGCCCCACCUCAGUGGGGAUUUCUGGGAUUUGGGAUCUCCCACCUCACUCAGGGAUUUCCCAUUUCCCAUUUCCCACCUCACUCAGGGAUUUCCCAUUUCCAAUUUCCCACCUCACUCAGGGAUUUCCCAGUCCCCACCUCACUCAGGGAUUUCCCAUCUCCCACCUUACUCAGGGAUUUCCCAUUUCCCAUCUCCCACCUCACUCAGGGAUUUCCCAUUUCCCACCUCACUCAGGGAUUUCCCGGCCCCACCUCAGUGGGGAUUUCUGGGAUUUGGGAUCUCCCAGCUCCCAGCAGGUUUCCCUGGUGCCGAGCCCCCCUGCAGCAGCACUUACGCC